AGAGUUUGAUCAUGGCUCAGGAUGAACGCUAGCUACAGGCUUAACACAUGCAAGUCGAGGGGAAACGAUAUUGGAAGCUUGCUUCCGAUAGGCGUCGACCGGCGCACGGGUGAGUAACGCGUAUCCAACCUGCCCACCACUUGGGGAUAACCUUGCGAAAGUAAGACUAAUACCCAAUGACGUCUCUAGAAGACAUCUGAAAGAGAUUAAAGAUUUAUCGGUGAUGGAUGGGGAUGCGUCUGAUUAGCUUGUUGGCGGGGUAACGGCCACCAAGGCUACGAUCAGUAGGGGCUCUGAGAGGAAGGUCCCCCANAUUGGAACUGAGACACGGUCCAAACUCCGUACGGGAGGCA
rnacentral:rRNA from 1 species